AGUGAACGCUGGCGGUAGGCCUAACACAUGCAAGUCGAACGGCAGCACAGUAAGAGCUUGCUCUUACGGGUGGCGAGUGGCGGACGGGUGAGGAAUACAUCGGAAUCUACUUUUUCGUGGGGGAUAACGUAGGGAAACUUACGCUAAUACCGCAUACGACCUACGGGUGAAAGCAGGUGAUCUUCGGACCUUGCGCGAUUGAAUGAGCCGAUGUCGUUUUAGUUAGUUGGCGGGGUAAAGGCCCACCAAGGCGACGAUCCGUAGCUGGUCUGAGAGGAUGAUCAGCCACACUGGAACUGAGACACGGUCCAGACUCCUACGGGAGGCGGCAGUGGGGAAUAUUGGACAAUGGGCGCAAGCCUGAUCCAGCCAUACCGAGUGGGUGAAGAAGGCCUUCGGGUUGUAAAGCCAUUUUGUUGGGAAAGAAAAGCAGCAGGUUAAUACCCCGCUGUUCUGACGGUACCCAAAGAAUAAGCACCGGCUAACUUCGUG
rnacentral:rRNA from 1 species